GUAGGGAAUAUUGCGCAAUGGACGAAAGUCUGACGCAGCGACGCCGCGUGAGUGAUGAAGGCCUUAGGGUCGUAAAGCUCUGUUGAAUGGGAAGAAAAAAAUGACGGUACCAUUCGAGGAAGGACCGGCUAACUUCGUGCCAGCAGCCGCGGUAAUACGAGGGGUCCUAGCGUUGUUCGGAAUCAUUGGGCGUAAAGGGUGUGUAGGUGGCCAUGUAAGUCAGGUGUGAAAGCCCCGGGAGCAACCCGGGAAGUGCACUUGAUACUGCGUGGCUUGAGUACCGAAGAGGGUAGUGGAAUUCGAGGUGUAGUGGUGAAAUACGUAGAUAUCUGGAGGAACACCGGUGGCGAAGGCGGCUACCUGGUCGAGUACUGACACUGAGACACGAAAGCAUGGGGAUCAAACAGGAUUAGAAACCCCUGUAGUCC
rnacentral:rRNA from 1 species